rnacentral:rRNA from 1 species
CGAGCACGCGCGUGUGGCAUAUCAAUAAGCGGAGGAAAAGAAACUAACAAGGAUUCCCUUAGUAACGGCGAGUGAAGCGGGAAGAGCUCAAAUUUGAAAUCUUCAAGGUUCUACCUUGACGAAUUGUAGUUUAUAGAAGUGUUUUCUGUUAGUGGAGUGGCAAAAGUUCUUUGGAAUAGGACAUCAUAGAGGGUGAGAAUCCCGUAUUUGGUCAUUCCUCCUAGCGUUGUGAUACACUUUCAACGAGUCGGAUUGUUUGGGAAUGCAGUCCAAAAUGGGUGGUAAAUUUCAUCUAAAGCUAAAUAUUGGCGAGAGACCGAUAGCGAACAAGUACCGUGAGGGAAAGAUGAAAAGAACUUUGAAAAGAGAGUUAAACAGUACGUGAAAUUGUCAAAAGGGAAGCGUUUGACACCAGUGUUGUUUUUCCGAAAAUCAAUUACGAAUGUUUUGUUUUUGAGGAGUUAUGACUUCAUCGGCUUGCUCCUUUCUUUAUGAAACUUUCUUAAUGCACUUUUCGGUUAACAAGUCAACAUCAAUUUCUUUUGUUGUAAAAGGGUAUGAGGAAGGUGGCUUUCUUUUCGGAGAAAGUGUUUAUAGCCUUGUGCCUCUGCAAUCGGAGAGAUUGAGGUCUGCAGCGUAGAUCCUUCGGGGUUAGAUACAUUUGUGCUAAGUUAUAGCUUGUCAUAGACAACUUGUUGACCUAUGUUCAGUCAUUGUAGCUUACUCGCUUACUGCUAUUUUACCUACGCUUAGGAUGUUGAUGUGAUACUGCGAGCA